GGCAGGGGCGGUAGCACGUUGAAUGCAAAAGUUCCCUAUGGAUCACUGAAGUUAAGCAACGUUGUGCGUGGUCGGUAUCCGGAUAGGUGACCGUCCAGGGAAAAGUUCUCGUCUCUUCUC
rnacentral:rRNA from 1 species